ACCAGGAAGCACCGCACUCUUUUGAGCUUUCUGUGUUCUCGGAGCGUGUAACUUCCUCCGAAAUAACUUCAGGAGAUGCAUAGUCCUCAAUCUGUGCAAUGCAGUGCCUGCUCUUCUGGAAGAACCUGUUAACACUGAAGACGAGACGGGUAAAAAUGAAGUCAUCAAAGACUCGACUCUCAAGUCCAAACAGUGGCUGCUUCACGCUUCCCUACACAUCAUGGGCAAUCAAACCUCUAGUGAAAAGCUCAAUUCUUCUCCAUCAGAAACUUCAAAUACAGCCAGGAUGCCCUGGACGACUGACUCAGGGUCUCAGGCAAUUUCCCCGGUGUGCUCUCAGCCAUGCUCCACUGGUAACUCCUGUCUCUGAACAUCGAUCUUGAACAGCGUCCUGCUGGGAGGAAAGAAAUUCGGCACUGAGGGACUGAUGUUCAGCCACAUCAACUACAGAGCAGGGGAGCUCUGCUGAUGGACAUUGAGUUAUGCUGCCAGGCAGCUGUUGGAGAUCCAGCAGCCCUGAACUGAGCAUCAUGGCAUUUGAUACCACGAACUGCCAUGAAGAUGAUCUGAGGACUGGAGCACCUCCCGUACAAGGACAGGCUGAGAGAGCUGGAGCUCUAGAAGAUUAGGCUCAGGGAGACCUUAGAGCAGCUUCCAGUACUGAAAGGGGCUCAAGUAAAGCUGGGAGGGGCUUUUGAUCAAGGAGGGCAGGGAUAGGAUGAGGGGAGGUGGGUUUCAGCUGCAAGAGGGGAGAUUGAGUUGAGAUCUUGGGUAGAAAUGUUUUGCUGUGAGGGUGGUGAGGCCCUGGAACAGGUUGCCCAGAGAAACUGUCUCUGCCCCAUUCCUGCAGGUGUUGAAGGUCAGUUUGGAUGGGGCUUUGGGCAGCCUGAUCCAGUGGGAGGUGUCCCAUGGCAGGGGGUUGAGACUUGAUGGGCUUUGAGAUCUCUUCCAACUCAAACUGUUCUGUGAUUCUAUGAUUCCAGUUCAGGACCAGUUGGUUCCCCUCUUCUGUUCAGAACCGGGUGCUCUGAAGUUGGCGGCGUUAUGCAGAUUUGUAUGAAUGAUUUCUUUAAGAAAUCCCUAUGCACGAACCAAAACCACUGCACUACAGCCAUCUUUAUCUCAUCUCGAUAGCUGGUAGUUGCUAUUGUCUCCUUUUCUGCACACUGCUUAUCUAAACACAAGGGGUUGGACACUUAAUCAUAGAAUCUCCCCUCUUUCAGCUGAAAACCAUUCCCCCUCAUCUGAUCCCUACACUCCUUGAUAAAAAUCCUGUUCCCAGCUUUCCUGUAGGCGAAGAAUUACAAUACGAAUAAAUAUCUGCGCAAUGACUCUGUCUUAGUGGGAUCCUGAUCUGCUUUGGGGUCCCAUGGCUACAUGAGCAAUUAUGAGGAUAAAAGGUAUGGAAAAGCAGAAAAGAGAUCUAGAAAAAUAUGACGUUAGUUUUUUUAGAAGGCUUAUAGAUUCCUUUGUCAUACCUAACCUGAAAAAACACCCAAAGAACAAGCAGAUUAUAUCAAAACCCCAUAAAAAGGCCAUUUUAAUGCACAUAUAUUGAAAGGCAUUUUUUUUGUUCUCUGCAGAAUUUCGUGCAAAGUUUUCCACAAUAUUUAUGGGUUUUUUUUAUAAGAAGCUUGUGUAAGUCUCCAGAGUUUAACGAUGCCAGAAACCCAACCUUUCUUAUUAGAGCCAUAAAACUUCACCCCCUCAACUUAAUUGCGUAUUGAAGCAGUUGAAAUGCAUCAACUUCAAGGCAGAUUAUUUCCCAAUGUCAUACUUUUGUUGUAACUUUUUGUUAUAAGAGCCUGGGUGGUGUCUUUCUAUCCACAGCCAUGUCCCAGUGUGUUUAUCUUAUCUCUCCCUCGUUCUUUAAUACUGGGUAGAACUCAAGGAUUUGAAGAGCACUGUUAAGUAGAACCCAUCUGGGUUUUUUUUCUAAUGUAUCUUCCUUUCCUUUUUUCUCUCCUAGAUUGUGUAGCAUUGUCUAUGAAUAUCAGAGCGAGUCAGGCAUGAAGCAGUCAGAGGCUAAAUAUAAAGCCUAAGAGAAACAUACAGGCAAAAAAGGAUGUUGUCAAGAGGAGAACACCUUGGCUUCAUACAACAGCCAUUCCAUGUAGUCACAGUUGGAUCUGAUCAGUUUUCCACACUAUGGGCCAGGGCUUGGUUUCACUGAGGUGUUCGUAGAAUCAUC